rnacentral:rRNA from 1 species
CCUACGGGAGGCAGCAGUGGAGAAUCAUGGACAAUGGGGGAAAGCCUGAUGGAGCGACGCCGCGUGGGGGAAGGAAGGUCUCCGGAUUGUAAACUCCUGUCAUGUGGGAGCAAAUUAAAAAGAUAGUACCAUAAGAGGAAGAGACGGCUAACUCUGCGCCAGCAGCCGCGGUAAUACAGAGGUCGCAAGCGUUGUGCGGAAUCACUGGGCGUAAAGGGUGCGUAGGCUGGGUCGUAAGUCGUGUGUGAAAGGCGCGGGCUCAACCCGCGGACGGCACUUGAUACUGCGUUUGUAGAGUGGUGGAGAGGGAACCGGAAUUCUCGGUGUAGCGGUGAAAUGCGUAGAUAUCAAGAAGAACACUCGUGGCGAAGGCAGCUUCCUGGACUGUAACUGACGCUGAGGCACGAAAGCCUGGGGAGCGAACAGGAUUAGAUACCCCGGUAGUC